UGAGGGGUAGCUCAGUGGUCAGACCUUGGGUUUGUUCCCCAAUGGUUACUAGUUCGAGUCCCCUCAG
rnacentral:tRNA from 1 species